rnacentral:lncRNA from 1 species
UACUCCCGAAGGGGCACAUCUUCAACCUGCCGAAGCAUGUACAGGUCGUUCACAGAGUAUAGGCGAUCGGUCUGGAUCAUGAAGUGGUCUAGGAAGGUCUGCUUCAGACUAUCAAAUGAGUUGAUGGUGCCGGGGUUCAGCCUGUAGAACCAAUUCAGGGCCGCAUCACUGAGGGUGGAAGGGAAGAGGAGGCACAUGCCUUCAUCACUUACACCCAAGGGCAGACUGGAAAGAAUGUAUAUGGGUGAGAGGAUCCUCUGUGCCAGUGUAGAAGGUGAUGCGGAGUAGCUGGAUGUCUUUCUCCUGGUGGUAAUUGAAGAUACGUUCGGUAAAGGGCCCAGGUCGUGGCUUCGCUCAGAGGGGUUGGUGGUUGCGGUGCUACUCACUCUCCACGCGCCGGAUCUUCUCGAAGAGAAGCCUCAAGGUCGGGUCGACAUGAAAGAGAGUCUCGGGUGCCGAAGGCCCUGAGGGGCAGGUGAACAGAAGCUGGG